rnacentral:lncRNA from 1 species
UGGUACAUCAAAAUGCAAAUCAUUUGCUUUAGGUAUUCAUCAAAUAACACUCAAAUCAUGUUAUCAAUGGAUGGAUGGAUGAGCUUACUGCACUUUUGUAUGAUUUAUGAUAACCUAAUGCUGGUCUAUUUUCUAAUACACAGCUAAUCAUUCAGUAUUAAAACUCAUCAAAUGCAUGUGCCCCAUUCUCAUAACUUUAUAAUAUUUCAGUGCAGUGUCUUUGAGUUUUGCAUUCAAACAAACCCACAAAUUGGAUUUUCAGAUGACGUCCAAUGGUGGUUUAGCAACGUAUUAAUAAUUUGUGCUUGUGUUAAAUAGCAUGUGAAAGCUCGCUUCGUACAAAUGAGCUUACUUAACUAUGUACCAAAUGUUAGCGAUAAGAAAUCAAAAUUCCUAAUCAAAUCAGAGCGCCAAAUAGCUAUCGCCCUGAGGUUUCAUUUAUUAAAAAGAAAGCACCGAGCUACACUUUUGGUAGAAGAACAAAGCUCAGCUUCGAACAGGCGACUCCAGCACCCGGUGACUACCAAACG